CACGAACCGGACGAACGUUAUUCGGAAUUACUGGGCUUAAAGGGUGCGUAGGCGGUCUGGAAGGUGGGGUGUGAAAUCCCUCGGCUCAACCGAGGAAUAGCGCUCCAAACCGCCAGGCUUGAGCGAGACAGAGGUGAGCGGAACUCACGGUGGAGCGGUGAAAUGCGUUGAUAUCGUGAGGAACACCGGUGGCGAAAGCGGCUCACUGGGUCUGUAGCUGACGCUGAGGCACGAAAGCUAGGGGAGCGAACAGG
rnacentral:misc_RNA from 1 species